rnacentral:rRNA from 1 species
UGGGGAAUUUUGGACAAUGGGCGCAAGCCUGAUCCAGCCAUGCCGCGUGCGGGAAGAAGGCCUUCGGGUUGUAAACCGCUUUUGUCAGGGAAGAAAUCCUCUGAGUUAAUACCUCGGGAGGAUGACGGUACCCGAAGAAUAAGCACCGGCUAACUACGUGCCAGCAGCCGCGGUAAUACGUAGGGUGCAAGCGUUAAUCGGAAUUACUGGGCGUAAAGCGUGCGCAGGCGGUUUUGUAAGACAGAGGUGAAAUCCCCCGGGCUCAACCUGGGAACUGCCUUUGUGACUGCAAGGCUUGAGUGCGGCAGAGGGGGGCAUGGAAUUCCGCGUGUAGGCAGCGAAAAGUGCGUAGAUAUGCGGAGGAACACCGAUGGCGAAGGCAAUCCCCUGGGCCUGCACUGACGCUCAUGCACGAAAGCGUGGGGAGCAAACAGGAUUAGAUACCCUGGUAGUCCACGCCCUAAAACGAUGUCAACUGGUUGUUGGGAAGGUUCCUUCUCAGUAACGUAGCUAACGCGUGAAGUUGACCGCCUGGGGAGUACGGCCGCAAGGUU